rnacentral:rRNA from 1 species
UACGGGGGGGGCAAGCGUUGUUCGGAAUUACUGGGCGUAAAGGGCUCGUAGGCGGCCAACUAAGUCAUACGUGAAAUCCCUCGGCUUAACCGGGGAGCUGCGUCUGAUACUGGAUGGCUUGAGUUCGGGAGAGGGAUGCGGAAUUCCAGGUGUAGCGGUGAAAUGCGUAGAUAUCUGGAGGAACACCGGUGGCGAAGGCGGCAUCCUGGACCGAUACUGACGCUGAGGAGCGAAAGCGUGGGGAGCAAACAGG